UCAAUUAAUUUCAUCGUCGGUAUCCGAAAAUAAAUAAAUAAAUAGAUUUCAUCGUCGUAUAUGUUAUGCGGUGAAGACAAACAGCUUUUCAGUUAACUCUUUCACUUGCCGUUGCCGCUUGUAGUAUAUCCACCUAUCUUUUUCUUCGAUGGACGUUGAUGAUGAGCAUUUAGGUCAUGAAUCUGUUGAGACUGACGAAGAUUGUUCAUUAGUUCUUGAGCUUUCUGAAAAUGACCCUCUCUUCGAGGAAAAGAAGAAAUUACUUGAAGCCAAAGGUUUUGAUCCUAAGGGACAUGUAUACUUCAAAAGCUCCUCUAACCCCAAUUCACUCAACUCUACAUUGCAAGCAAUGCUUCAGAAAGAGAGAAUCAUGCACUUGGAUGAGGUGGAACUCUACUUUGGUGAACUUGAUCUAAUUUGUCCAGUAGGCAUUCAAAGCCCCAGGAAUGAGUUGGAAGCAUUCCAUUCAAUCCUGUCAGCCAUUGAUAAGUCACUCUUAAGUGGUAAGCACGUGAUGACAAAUGUCCUUCAAGAUUUGAGGAAUGCAACUGUUUAUAUGAUCCGUGAAUUUGGGGACCAAAUCAGAGAGGAGACUCGAAUCAUUGCCAACAGUAGAUGUGAUGGGGAGAAGUGUUUAUUACAGUGGGGUGAAAACAAUGGUGUUAGAACGAAGUUGGAGAUAACUUAUGUAGAAGGAGCUGGAAGAGGAGCCAUAGCAAUGGAAGAUCUUGAAGUUGGAGACAUUGCUUUGGAGAUCCCUGUGUCAAUCAUCAUUACUGAGGAGCUUGUUCAUGAAUCUGACAUGUUCCCUGUGUUGAAAAAGAUAGAUGGUAUUUCCUCUGAGACGAUGUUGUUAUUGUGGAGCAUGAAGGAGAAGCACAAUCGUAAUUCAAAAUUUAAGAUCUACUUUGAUACACUGCCAGAAGUAUUCAAUACAGGGUUGAGCUUUGGAGUUGAUGCAAUCAUGGAUUUAGAUGGAACUUUGUUGUUAGAAGAAAUAGUGCAAGCAAAAGAGCACUUGCGCACCCAAUACGAUGAAUUAUUUCCUGCAUUAUGUAGUGAUUAUCCUGAUAUAUUUCCACCAGAGCUGUACACAUGGGAGCAGUUCUUGUGGGCUUGUGAACUCUGGUACUCUAACAGCAUGAAAGUUAUGUAUAAUGAUGGAAAGCUGCAGACAUGCUUGAUUCCUAUUGCAGGCUUUCUCAAUCAUUCGAUAUGCCCGCACAUAGUGCACUAUGGCAAAGUAGAUUCUGCUGCAAAUUCCUUAAAAUUCCCUUUGUCAAGACCGUGUUAUGCUGGAGAACAAUGCUACCUUAGCUACGGGAACUUCUCUAGUUCUCAUCUCGUUACCUUCUAUGGUUUCUUACCACAAGGGGACAACCCGAAUGAUGUCAUUCCACUUGAUAUUGAUGCUGAUUGUGCUGAGGAUGUAUGCCCCGUGUCUUAUUGGACAAACCACAUGGUGCGAGGUACUUGGUUCUCAAAGAACCACAAGAUCUUCCAUUAUGGGUUGCCGCCUCCUUUAUUAGAUCAUCUCCGCAGAGCUCGGGAUCCUGAGUUACAAACCAAUGCCCCAACGCAAGAGAACUUGGAGAUAGAACUGGAAGUUCUUGAAGAUCUUCGCGUUACCUUCGAGGGCAUGUUGGAAAUACUCAACGACACAAAACUUGGCGAAAGGAAAAGUAGCGGUUGGGAUGUAAAGCUUGCAUUGGAUUUCAAAGAUGUACAAAGAAGGAUAGUCUCCUCGAUUGUAACUUCGUGUUAUGCUGGUUGCAAGUUGGUGGAAUGCGAAUUGAGCAAAUGUAUGGCUUAGGACAGUCGUGGCUUGAUGAGCUGGCUGGAAUAUGUCUCUGCUUUCUGACCAAGAAUUACUUAAUUUUCCAAGGAUCUUAGAGCAAGUGUGGUGGUACAGUUUGGAACAGCUCAGCUCAGAUUAUCUCACAAACUUACUACUGUGAAGUGAUCAGAACCAUCGUCACUGCCCCGUGCAAAAAAGAAGUCGCGAAAAAUGGUUAAUCGAGUAUGUAAUACUAUUGUAAAAUGGAUCAUAUCUUAAAUUAUCAUAUCGUUUUGGUGGAGUCAGGAGUGGGAGCGUAGGACCCUCCCUUCAUCAACACAGAGUGGAAAGGUGGUUGAUUGGCCAAUGAAGAACAUACACUACUGUAUUUAAAUGGGAAGUCCAGUCCCCAAUCCCUUUCUCCCUCUCUAGCGAUAUUGGAUGUGUCAAAACGCACUAUGUCAUUAGUGUACUUACUACUCACUUAAUAAUAAUGUAUUAUUUAAAAAUAAGUUGUAUCCCCAGUAAUCUGUAAAAUAUAUACUACUUAGAGCAUCUCCAACAUUAUGUUUAAAAUCUCAUUUUUGUGUAAAAUAUAAUCUACCUCGUAUGAUAUGUAAAUUAUUUAUUUAUUUAUUAUUA